rnacentral:lncRNA from 1 species
UGGACUGUGGACUCUUUAGGUCUCAGGGUUUUUGUUUGUUGUCUGUUUUUCACUUCCAAAACCAGAAAAUGAGAAGAUAUUUUCCAUAAGAUGGCGGUGGAGAAGAGAACUUGAUGGACCUUGCUUGGACAAAAUGCCUUCACCGCUAACUCAGUCAGCUAUGGCGAUGGGUCAAGGACCUGGUGGUUUUACAGAGAAGACCCUUGGUCAAAUCUUUGUGAAUGAAGCAACCAUUCUGAUGUUCAAUAACAGGGUAAGUGCUGGCCAAUGAUGUCAUUAUCGUCCAUCCUGUGGCUUCCACACAUCAGUGAUCUUAUUAGAUACCUGCAAUUUCAACCCACUAUAUCAGAAUUCCAUAGGAAUGAGUUGUUUUUAAAGUUCUUCAGAGUGAAUUUGGAUGCUCAGUCAUUAUAAAGAACUAUCUUCAUCCUACAAAGACUGGUGUUUUUUCUUUCCUUGUUUAUCUUGGAAUUUUUUUCCAAUUGCAGCCUUGAAAACCAUUUCCAAUAAUGUCAGAAUUUGCUUAAAAGAUUGUGAAAGACGGUAAUCUGGAUUGUAAUACUGGGUCAAAGAGACCAUACCAGGAGCCAACCAUGCUAAAUCUAACUUUAAAAUACAGAAUUACAAUGUUAAGACAAGUUCCAUAGAGUGAUAAGGUCUAUGUGGUACUUACUAUUUUACACACAUUUUCCUACACUUAGUGUAACUGUCUCCUAAUUAAAUGCAAUUGUUUUAAAUUAGCUGAUGUGUGUUUUAUGUGAUAUAGCUUUAUAUCCUAAGCCAGAAUAAAAAUAUUCUGAGAGUGACA